rnacentral:rRNA from 1 species
AUGGCGUACAAGUUGGAAUUGCCGGUGGACUGGAGGAUCCACCCAGUCUUUCACGUGUCCCAGCUCAAGCCGUUCACUCCCAACUACACUCCGGUCUUCGCCGAGCUGCCACGACCUCCAGACCUCGCCGGCCACGACGACGCACCAGUGGAGAUCCUGGAGCGGCGCAUGGUCAAGCGUGGCAACAACGCUCUGGUGCAGGUCAAAGCGCACUGGCGCCACGACGGGACGACAACGACGUGGGAGGACUACGACACUCUGCGCCACCGCUUCCCGCACGCGCCGGCGUGGGACACUCAAGUCACCAAUGAGGCAGAUCAGCACGCUGCAACUGAAGACGGAGCUCGUUCUGAAUAA